UAUAAUUUUUUUUAUACUAUUCGUUGAUCAAAUUUAUACAUCUAAUAGUUCGUGCUUAUUAGAUUUCAUAGAAAAUGAAUUUAAGUCACGAUUUUGUAAAACCACGUAAUUCUUUUCCUAUUAUUGAUACUUUGUUUGUACUUUGUUCUAAUUGUAUUCUUUACGUUUUAACUUCACUACUACAAACUUCUGAUGGCACUUGCGGUGACAUAUUUUGGUACAGUUUUUGCACUUGUAUACUGCUUUAUAGGUGUUGCUUUAUACAUUUUUUUAUAUCGAAAAGGGAAAGGAGUAUUUUUUAGAGAAAAAAUGUAUGUACUGUAAAAAAAUAAACAAAUAAACGAAUAACCUACCUAACCUUUAAAGCAGUAGGUAUACAAGUGCAAAGAAUGUACCAAAGUAUGUCACCACAAGUGCCAUAAGAAGUUUGUAGUAUUGGAGCUAAAUCGUAAAGAAGAAUUAGAACAGAUGAAAUCAACUAUCGAAAUGAAUAAAAAUAAAAUCGUUGCCCAAAAAAUCGUGCAUGAAAUAGAAGAAAAAAAAGAAGAUGAAUUGCAAAAUACAGAGAAAGAACAACAUAAUAAGUAAUUUCUACGGACUUACCAUGAGCCAAACUCCACCUUAGCUGUAAACAUAUUACAGGAUACACACAAAAUCGAAUAAAAUCCUUUGAGAGCUCUGGAAAAUAUCAGUUUAGAAGAGAACAAAGAUAUUUCGAUAUUAUUACUCAGAUCUUCAAUACAAAACAGGGUUCGAUCACUUCGAUAUUAAUGCAAAUGAACUGGAAAAGGUUAUGAAAGGAGCGGAGUCAAAUAAAGCGUUUCUGGAAAAGGAUAAUUCCAUACCGGAUACAAGUCUAUAGCCUAGGCCAAUAAUAUUUUGGGUGGUUCAACUGUAAUUUUUUUCUCAAUAACAAAACAUUCAUACCAUCAUUGACUCAUAGCAACCUAUAAUGUUUGACGUGAAGAGGAAAGUGCACCCACAUGGCCACAUGUGUAAUUUUUCUAUCUUACAGACAUAAAUAUUAUAGAACAUAAUAAAUUUACAAUCACCCGAAUUCAUUUAAUGUUGUUAGCAUUAAUAUUAAAGUGAAUUUAUCCAUUAUUAUCAAACUUAAAGAAUGAAAUGUUCUUGGCUCCAUUCGAUACUAUGUCGUGAAUAACCUUUUUAAGUUCGUUUACUCUGGGAUUUACUUUCGAGUUCAUUGAAUAUUUGCAAUUGAUAUCGAAUUACCUUUAUUCUUUUUCGGAAUGAAAUUUUGCUGGUAUAGAACUGCUUAAUUUAUUUAUUAAGUAAUGUUUAAUUUUGGACAGAAGACCGAAGUAGCAAAAAGUUUAUGAUUUAAAAAUAAAAAACUAAAGACUUAAUGCAUGAACGAACAAAAACGGAGUUGGUGUUUAGUGAAUAACGACUGCAAAACAAUGUAUGCCUAUAUUUAUAGAGGUACAUACUAUAUUAGCAUUUUAAAUGUAUCAACAACUAUAGUACAAUCUCCAUCACAGACUACAGUUCCUUGAAAUAACACUGGCAACAAUAAUGUACUAAACGGCUGAGCACUCUAAACAUUUUAAUUGACACUUGACAGAACUCAUUUUGACAACAAAUCAAUAUAGUCAGAUCUUAUUGUGGAUAAUUAUUGAGAAAUCGUUACUCUAAUUUAAAUCAAAAAGGCUUCCUGAAAUUCAUGGCUUUUAAACCAUUACUACGAUCAAAUUUGUAACCACUUGCCCACUUCAAUCACUUGAUGGGAAGGAAUGUAUACAUAACUAUACAUAUACACAACCUUUUCAAA